rnacentral:rRNA from 1 species
AGAGUUUGAUCAUGGCUCAGGAUGAACGCUGGCGGCAUGCCUAAUACAUGCAAGUCGAACGAAGCGGCCUAUAGAAUUUAAUAAGCUUGCUUAGAGAAGGACAUAGAUCACCGCUUAGUGGCGAACGGGUGAGUAACACGUAGGUAACCUGCCCUAGAGACUGGGAUAACUAUUGGAAACGAUAGCUAAUACCGGAUAGGUAACUAGUAGGCAUCUAUUAGUUAUUAAAGUUGGGUUGCAACACUCUAGGAUGGACCUGCGGUGUAUUAGCUAGUUGGUGAGGUAAUGGCUCACCAAGGCGACGAUACAUAGCCGACCUGAGAGGGUGACCGGCCACAUUGGGACUGAGACACGGCCCAGACUCCUACGGGAGGCAGCAGUAGGGAAUUUUCGGCAAUGGGGGAAACCCUGACCGAGCAAUGCCGCGUGAGUGAUGAAGGAUUUCGGUCUGUAAAGCUCUGUUGUAAGGGAAAAAGGAUGUUAAUAGGGAAUGAUUAAUAUUUGAUGGUACCUUACCAGAAAGCCACGGCUAACUACGUGCCAGCAGCCGCGGUAAUACGUAGGUGGCAAGCGUUAUCCGGAAUUAUUGGGCGUAAAGGGUGCGUAGGCGGUUUAAUAAGUCUGAAGUAAAAGGCAGUGGCUCAACCAUUGUAAGCUUUGGAAACUGUUAGACUAGAGUGCAGGAGAGGCAAAUGGAAUUCCAUGUGUAGCGGUAAAAUGCGUAGAUAUAUGGAGGAACACCAGUGGCGAAGGCGGUUUGCUGGCCUGUAACUGACGCUGAGGCACGAAAGCGUGGGGAGCAAAUAGGAUUAGAUACCCUAGUAGUCCACGCCGUAAACGAUGAGAACUAGGUGUUGGGGAGACUCAGUGCCGCAGUUAACGCAAUAAGUUCUCCGCCUGGGGAGUAUGCACGCAAGUGUGAAACUCAAAGGAAUUGACGG